UACAGAGGGUGCGAGCGUUGUUCGGAAUUAUUGGGCGUAAAGGGCGCGUAGGCGGUGCGGUAAGUCACCUGUGAAAUCUCCCGGCUCAACUGGGAAAAUGCAGGCGAAACCGCCGUGCUCGAGUGGGGGAGAGGUGCGUGGAAUUCCCGGUGUAGCGGUGAAAUGCGUAGAUACCGGGAGGAACACCUGUGGCGAAAGCGGCGCACUGGACCACAACUGACGCUGAGGCGCGAAAGCUAGGGGAG
rnacentral:rRNA from 1 species